CAGCCAUGCCGCGUGCGGGAAGAAGGCCUUCGGGUUGUAAACCGCUUUUGUCAGGGAAGAAACGGGUUUCUCUAAUACAGAGACCUAAUGGGCGUACCUGAAGAAUAAGCACCGGCUAACUACGUGCCAGCAGCCGCG
rnacentral:rRNA from 1 species